AUUCUCCUGCCCUCCUGCCUCAGCCUCCCGAGUAGUUGGGAUUAUGGGUGCAUGCCACCACGUGUGGCUAAUUGUUUGUAUUUUUUGGUAGAAAUUCGGUUUGCUGCACCCACUUUACAGAGCAAGAGACUGAGGUCCAGAGAGGUCCCCACACUUCUUUCUUUCCCCACUUGACCACAUUCUUGGAAUGACCGCUCAGGAUCCAAUGAGCAUUAGUUCUGAAUGUUCCAGCAGCAUUGACCCUGUCUCAGUUCUGUCUCCCAGUGACAGAGCGAGAGGUCACUGAGGACAUCAAGAAGACCUGGCCAGCACACGACAGCUGCUCUCAUCAGACCAUGCACACCUACACCCCAACACCUGUGCACAGACACCCCUACACCUGUGCAGACGCACCCCUACACCCGUGCACAGAGACACCUGUGCAGACACAAC
rnacentral:lncRNA from 1 species